rnacentral:lncRNA from 1 species
AUGAGCACCAGGAAGAAGAACAUCCCUAAGUACUCAAAUUUCCAGAGCAUGGAGUUGGAACCCACAGAGGCCGAGGACCAGGAACUCUCUGAAUUGGACUCACUUUACCAGUCUAGUCUGCAGGCUGGCCCGGGUCCUGGCCGAGCCCUGUGUGGUACCAGCUCACCUGCUGUUUUGAGACCAGUACUUCCUGCUGCACGAAAGCUGCUCACUGGAGUCGGACGCUCUCGGACCCCCACGGCUGAACUUGAGAGAACCGCUUAUGGACCACCAGGUUGUUGCAGCCCUACUGGAUAUAUGAACAUGCCCCCGUCAGUGGCCCAUCAAGAGCCUCAGUCAGGAGAGGAAGACCAGUAUGAUGCGGAUCACCUGCGCCGUAUUGCUCGCAGCCUGAGUGGAACGGUCAUUGGCCGUCGCCAGAACCGUCUUGCCGUCUCCCGAAGCUUCGUAAGUAUCCCACACAUGAAUAAGACUAAAAUGAAUUCUGACCAUCUUAUUUAAUCUGAGGGGCUAGCUAAUGGCUAAAAUAUGAUUGAAAUAGUGCUACUAGUGACUGCUGGCAUUCAAGAGUCUGCUAGAGGGGCCAAAGAAUGGGGGAGGAAUCAGAUAUCUGUCCUAGAAACCUGAUAAGAGCACUGUCACCUAUUCAGGAGAGUGCUAACACACAGCUACUGCCACUUUAGCCUGAUCUGUGUGUGCUGCCUGUCCUUUGUCAAUCACUGCUGAGCUUUAGGUCAUUUGAUGUACACUCUGCAUUUACAUCUACAGUUAUUUUUAUAGCAGAUGCUGUCUUUCAAAGCUAUUUGGUGUAUAUAGUGUGUUUUGGCAUUCAUACAUUUCUAAUAUAUAAUGUAUGCCAGAAAUAUAUGAAUGCAUAGCUGUAUUGUCACAUGACAUCCACGUGCACCAUUGCACAAGGACACUCAAAUACACAUGCACAACUUCUCAUUGUCUUACUGAGUCAUACUGCUAUCCUG